AAGAAAACCUUGCCCACACACUAAAACUGGACAGUACAGGGAAGAUCAGCACAGCACCUGCACAAGGAUGACAUAUAAGCUCAUGAAGCAACCCAAUCUGUG
rnacentral:snRNA from 1 species